AUUGGACUUCUCAAGGAUGGAAAAUAAAAGUAUAACACAGGUCUUCAGUACCAGAGCGGCAAGUAUAACCAUUAUCGAGAAUUUCACAAGAUGAUAAUUAAAACAUAGCUAAACUAAAAUAAGUAUACCACAGAUAACAAGUCUCAAUGUCAAAAUCUCAAACAAGAAAUUACGUGAAGCCCCCUAUCAUCUCCUCGAGUACAUAAUUUUGUUCACCAAAUCAAGUAUCCUGGCCAUGCCAAAACAGCUUAAUGUAGAAUUUCUAAGAUAUGACUUGGCAAAGAAAGUAGCACUCUGAAUGCUCCCUUUGUCAUCUCUUAUGCCACAAGAGUACUGGCAGUGGUAGAUUCAUACUUCCAGACUGGUGGAAGCUUUUUUGUUUUCUUGUAGUAGCGAGCAAGUCGGUGAAUCCUGCUCUCAACAAGAAUCAACCUAAACUUGGAAUCCUUGUCUUUCCUGUUUCUCUCAAGAUGCUUCCGGAUUGCAACUGCUUUUUUGAUAAGGUGGUAGAGAUCCUCGGGAAUCUCAGGAGCAAGUCCAUGAGCCUUCAAAAUUCUGAGAAUCUUGCUACCAGUUACACUCUUCACCUGAGCAAUGCCAUGGGAAUCACGAAGAAUAACACCAAUUUGAGAGGGUGUUAAACCUUUUUUGGCAAACUUGCAGAUGUUAUCUUCAACAUCUGGUGCAGAUAUUUUGAGCCAACUUGGUGGAGUCCUCUUGUAUGGGAGUGCUGAAGCA
rnacentral:misc_RNA from 1 species